CUCAUAAAGGAACUCGCAAAAGUUCACCUCAUGUGCGAGACUGCAGUGAAAGCGGCUUUAUGCAAAACGCAAGUUGAAAACAAAUUAACAAUAACUUUUUCGUCUUUGAUCUAAGUAUUGUUGUGUGGGUCUAUAGCUUUUACAGUGCAGAAACCUAACGAGCAACACUAUGGUCCACCAACAGACGAGGAAGAGGAGGAUGAUGGCGAUCCAGCAUAUACAAGAUGCUAAAUGUAAGCAGACUAUAGUUGUACAGAUGCUCACCUCUGC
ensembl:lncRNA